rnacentral:rRNA from 1 species
AGAGUUUGAUCAUGGCUCAGGAUGAACGCUAGCGACAGGCCUAACACAUGCAAGUCGAACGGUAAAAUGGUAGCAAUACUAUUGAGAGUGGCGCACGGGUGAGUAACGCGUAUGCAACCUGCCUGUAACUGGGGGAUAGCUCCCUGAAAGGGGAAUUAACACCGCAUAAGACUACGGCAUCGCAUGGUGCAGUGGUAAAAUAUUUAUAGGUUACAGAUGGGCAUGCGUGACAUUAGUUUGUUGGUGAGGUAACGGCUCACCAAGACUACGAUGUCUAGGGGUUCUGAGAGGAAGGUCCCCCACACUGGUACUGAGACACGGACCAGACUCCUACGGGAGGCAGCAGUGAGGAAUAUUGGUCAAUGGACGCAAGUCUGAACCAGCCAUGUCGCGUGCAGGAAGACGGCCCUAUGGGUUGUAAACUGCUUUUGUAUGGGAAGAAAGUUAGCUACGUGUAGCUAUUUGCCGGUACCAUACGAAUAAGGAUCGGCUAACUCCGUGCCAGCAGCCGCGGUAAUACGGAGGAUCCGAGCGUUAUCCGGAUUUAUUGGGUUUAAAGGGUGCGUAGGCGGACUGGUAAGUCAGUGGUGAAAUACUGCAGCUUAACUGUAGAAUUGCCGUUGAUACUGCCAGUCUUGAGUACAGUUGAGGUAGGCGGAAUGUGGUGUGUAGCGGUGAAAUGCAUAGAUAUACCACAGAACACCGAUUGCGAAGGCAGCUUACUAAAGUGUCACUGACGCUGAUGCACGAAAGCGUGGGUAUCAAACAGGAUUAGAUACCCUGGUAGUCCACGCUGUAAACGAUGAUUACUGGUUGUUAGCGAUAUACCGUUAGUGACUGAGCGAAAGCAUUAAGUAAUCCACCUGGGGAGUACGUCGGCAACGAUGAAACUCAAAGGAAUUGACGG